GGGAGCCCCGCCCCCUCCAUCAAGGGGUCAAAGCAGACUUGAACGGAAGAGCUGGGCAGGCACCCUUGGGCCCUCACGGUGAGGACCCUGAGGGGAAAGGGUCUCGCCUGCUGGGGAAGCCUCCACAGCGCUUUUACUGAGAAACCUGGAUAAUGAGCAGAAAUCAACAAAAACCAAAGAAGCUAUAGAGACAUAUAAAGUCUUUUACGAAGGACUAGUUCAGUUGGAAAGGGUUGGUGUAUUCUGUGCUUGAAACAAGCCUUCAUGCAAAACCAAGAAGAACUUAACAACGACAAAGAGUAUG